rnacentral:rRNA from 1 species
UGCCCUCAAGACGAGGAUAACCGUUGGAAACGAUGGCUAAGACUGGAUAGGAAUACGGGAGGCAUCUUCUGUAUUUUAAAAGACCUGGCAACAGGUAUGCUUGAGGAGGGGCCUGCGGCGCAUUAGUUAGUUGGUGAGGUGAUGGCUCACCAAGACGAUGAUGCGUAGCCGGACUGAGAGGUUGAACGGCCACAUUGGGACUGAGAGACGGCCCAAACUCCUACGGGAGGCAGCAGUAGGGAAUUUUCGGCAAUGGGGGAAACCCUGACCGAAGCAACGCCGCGUGAACGACGAAGUACUUCGGUAUGUAAAGUUCUUUUAAGAGGGAAGAAUGGCCCGUGGAAAAGCGGGCGUGACGGUACCUUUUGAAUAAGCCCCGGCUAACUAUGUGCCAGCAGCAGC